GGGACACGUGGUAUCCUGUCUGAAUAUGGGGGGACCAUCCUCCAAGGCUAAAUACUCCUGACUGACCGAUAGUGAACCAGUACCGUGAGGGAAAGGCGAAAAGAACCCCGGCGAGGGGAGUGAAAAAGAACCUGAAACCGUGUACGUACAAGCAGUGGGAGCCUCUUAAUGGGGUGACUGCGUACCUUUUGUAUAAUGGGUCAGCGACUUAUAUUCUGUAGCAAGGUUAACCGAAUAGGGGAGCCGAAGGGAAACCGAGUCUUAACUGGGCGUUAAGUUGCAGGGUAUAGACCCGAAACCCGGUGAUCUAGCCAUGGGCAGGUUGAAGGUUGGGUAACACUAACUGGAGGACCGAACCGACUAAUGUUGAAAAAUUAGCGGAUGACUUGUGGCUGGGGGUGAAAGGCCAAUCAAACCGGGAGAUAGCUGGUUCUCCCCGAAAGCUAUUUAGGUAGCGCCUCGUGAAUUCAUCUCCGGGGGUAGAGCACUGUUUCGGCAAGGGGGUCAUCCCGACUUACCAACCCGAUGCAAACUGCGAAUACCGGAGAAUGUUAUCACGGGAGACACACGGCGGGUGCUAACGUCCGUCGUGAAGAGGGAAACAACCCAGACCGCCAGCUAAGGUCCCAAAGUCAUGGUUAAGUGGGAAACGAUGUGGGAAGGCCCAGACAGCCAGGAUGUUGGCUUAGAAGCAGCCAUCAUUUAAAGAAAGCGUAAUAGCUCACUGGUCGAGUCGGCCUGCGCGGAAGAUGUAACGGGGCUAAACCAUGCACCGAAGCUGCGGCAGCGACACUAUGUGUUGUUGGGUAGGGGAGCGUUCUGUAAGCCUGUGAAGGUAGCCUGUGAGGGUUGCUGGAGGUAUCAGAAGUGCGAAUGCUGACAUAAGUAACGAUAAAGCGGGUGAAAAGCCCGCUCGCCGGAAGACCAAGGGUUCCUGUCCAACGUUAAUCGGGGCAGGGUGAGUCGACCCCUAAGGCGAGGCCGAAAGGCGUAGUCGAUGGGAAACAGGUUAAUAUUCCUGUACUUGGUGUUACUGCGAAGGGGGGACGGAGAAGGCUAUGUUGGCCGGGCGACGGUUGUCCCGGUUUAAGCGUGUAGGCUGGUUUUCCAGGCAAAUCCGGAAAACCAAGGCUGAGGCGUGAUGACGAGGCACUACGGUGCUGAAG
rnacentral:rRNA from 1 species